UUCCUAUCAGAGCCUGAAGCACAGACAGUACCUUAGACUCUAAGCUCAGCACCUUGUACCUUGUUUCUGUGGCUAAGGAUAUUCAGAGUUGUGGGAUGCUGACAAAGUUUAUCCCAAAAAGUGUGAAGAGGCAAAGAUCUUAUAGAGUCUGUGCUGGAGGAGGAGCUGGAGUUUGAGGAGAGGGAACUGGCUGAGUUGCCGAGACCAGCUGCAAGGCUCCGAAUACGUGAUCCCUUAAUCCAGGCUCAGGCUGAAGAACUGACCCACUUAUGGCAGAAGAUAUAGGAAGGGAAUCAUAUUUGCUACCUUUUCACCCAGCAUGUGAAGAACACAGUCAAGAACACAGUCUCUUUUGACGGCCUCCUCAGGAACACUGGCAUUGCCUAAGGCCAGAGACAGAGAUUCUGUAAGCAAAUGGUAGAAGGAAGCCAGCCGACAGAGAUCCUUUCCAGAAACCUCACAACAG